rnacentral:antisense_RNA from 1 species
CGCUGAAUCCAGGAGUACAAAUGAAGUCACUGGGUUCCUGGGAAAGACAUGAGGCUGGAGAUCCAGGCUGGUAAACAUACAGCAGCCAAAGCAGGCCUGAGGAUGAAGAAGCAGGUCACAGAGCAAAGUCACUCCAUAGGAACCAGCUAGUGAGGCUGCCUGCUCUCCACUGGGAACUGGACCCCUGAUGAUGAACUUUCUCCUUGUGCCAUCUACUCUUUCAUCAAGCAAAGCUUCCUGAAGCAUCUGCUGUAUCAGGAGCUCCGCUAAGAGACACAGAAGAGACUGUGACUACCAUUUCUAUCAGCCAAGUAGGAUACUAACAAGGCUCCAAGGAUUAAGGUCCCAGAAAGGCCUGCCACCCACAGAACUUUCGAGUCUACAGGAACACCUGGAGGAUGGAUGGAAAGGAGGGACCAUUCCAAUAGCCUGCCUUCCUGGGAAGGGGAGACUUUUGCCCAGGAUUGAGGAGACGUAAGUCCUGUUUCCAACUUUGAUGAAGACAGUGGACUCCUCCAUGAACAAUUUACUCAUCCUUGGACUUCCCACUCCAGGACUGAGAUUACAUUUGUCCUGUUGCUUCCACUGAAAGAAGAGCCAGAAAUAUGCCUUAGAAUUUUGGAAGAGAACUGCCCAUCUUCAAGGAUGGAUAUUGGUCUCCCCGGAGUCGCUGACAGGGUUCCUGGGGAAGAAUAAGAGCUCCUAGCAUCGUUGAUGUAGCUUCUUUUAGAUGGGUGGAAACUCAGAUCCUGCUGAUGGAGUACGUACAGGCAUGCCUUCAACAGCAAUAGAGACUUCAGGAGGCAGUGAGCAGAUUCUAGCUCUGGCAUUGCUGGGGUGAGGAUAUGUCUGCCCUCCCAACCCUCUUCUACUUUUGGACUUCUAAAAAGUACCUGGACAAUUCAGAGGGAGGUAGAUGACUGAAGUGUGAUUUUCCGAAGGCAGAAGGAGGCUCGUCACAGCCUACUUUAUCCAAAUGGGCCCUUAACCUGCAGUCCUACCAGCCUCUCAAACAGCGAAACUUUGCAGCUGGCAGAGACGUGUAUGACACAUCUGUGCUGCCAAUCACUGAAGAAACCAUGUCUUGAGGAACCUAAGGAGAAAAACUCAGUGGCAAUUGCUUGUCAGUGAAAACAGUCGCGGCACACAGGGAGAGACCCACUGACCCUGUGGGGCUGGUCCCUACAUCUGGCGAUCUGACGUGGGGCUCUCCCUCGCUGUGUGAAGUUGCACCCUGAGUGUGGGAUCAGCAGAGGAGUUCAACGAGAUAUUCCUGAGGAUUGCGGUCAAUAAACUUGGUGACCUUGAGGAUGUUGCAGGAAGAAGAGAGAGGGCCUCGUUUGGGAGCUGUUCACCUCUGUCCUAAUACAGGGCACCAGGUCCUGUUCCAAUGGCAGACAGUGUGGGAAGCCAUUAAUGUGCCUGAGUUCUGCAGUCAGACAGCUGGUGUUGGAUCCUCUAACCAACUCUGUGACUGGACAGGAGUUAUAGCCUCUUUCCAAGUGAAUUAUGAAGAGCAAGAGCAAGUGUGGAUAAUAUGGAAGCUCAUUCCAGGAUGUUCAAGCUCAGUCGCCCCCGCCAGCUUGUUCACCGUGUUAUCCUGCUGCUCUGCUGCCCCACUCCUCCACCAGUCACGAUGGAAGAAGAGAUCGCCACGCUUGCCAUUGACAAUGGCUCCAGCAUGUGCAAAGCUGGCUUUGCUGGGGACGAUGCCCCCCAAGCUGUGUUUCCCUCUAUCAUCGGGCACCCCCGGCAUAAGAGCGUGAUGGUGGGCAUGGGCCAGAAGGACUCCUACGUGGGCGACAAGGCCCAGAGCAAGCCGGCAUCCUGACCCUGAAGUACCCCAUUGAGCAUGGCAUCGUCACCAACUGGGACGACAUGGAGAAGAUCUGGGACCACACCUUCUACAAUGAGCUGUGCGUGGCCCUGGAGGAGCACCCAGUGCUGCUGAUCGAGGCCUGCCCGAACCCCAAGGCCAACAGAGAGAAGAUGACUCAGAUCAUGUUUGAGACCUUCAACACCCCGGCCAUGUAUGUGGCCAUCCAGCCCGUGCUAUCCCUCUACGCCUCUGGGCGCACCAGUGGCAUUGUCAGGGACUCUGGAGAUGGGGUCACCCACACGGUGCCCAUCUACGUGGGCUACGCCCUCCCACAUGCCAUCCUGCAUCUGGACCUGGCUGGCAGGGACCUGACAGGCUACCUCAUGAAGAUCCUUACCGAGCGUGGCUACAGCUUCACCACCUCGGCCCAGCGGGAGAUCAUGCCCCACAUCAGGGAGAAGCUGUGCUACAUCACCCUGGACUUCGAGAAGGAGAUGGCCACGGCCGCAUCUUCCUCCUCCCUGGAGAAGAGCUAGAGCUGCCCAAUGGCCAGGUCAUCACCAUCGGCAAUAAGCCAUCCCGGUGCCACUAAUGUGGCAAAGCCAAAAUUUUAACCAAAUCUGAUUUCAGUGCUCUGACCCAGAAAGUUCUUAUGCUCACAUCAGCUAUUCAGAUGUUAAUAUUUGGUAUUUUAAAUUACAGAAUGAUACAUAUCUGAGAUAGACCUCUUCAAGUCUUCCUUAUAAAUUAGAAACUAAAGAUUUUUCAAACAGAAAUACUUUCAAUUUUUCAAGAAGCUUUAAUUUUGUCUCAUAAGAUGUGAAUCGACUGGAUCUGUUAUUUAGAAUGAUUAGCACACUGGGCAUACUGGCAGCAAAGCCUUUGAAAUUGAUAAAAAUAUGUGCUCUAAUCUGACAGAGAUCAUCCAUUAGUUACACCAUUCCAAAGUUCCCUGUUAUUGCCUGUGACAUUUCCCAAAUCAUCUAGAGAUUCAAGCUGUUAGAACAGUUUCUUUUAUCAGUCAUCUCCAGAGGCUCAUCAAACUGAGAAUUGUAUAAUUUUGUAUUUUUAAAUCCAUGUGGCACUUGCCACAGACAGAACCUUUGGAAGAUGAUAUUGUUGGUGUCGAGCCUUUGGUUAAGAUCAACACUUGAUUGGUGAUUUUUAAUAUUAAUAAAAACAGCUAGCUUAAUGUUAAGCCUUUGUUCUUUUAAAAGACUGAAGAGAAAUAGAGUAACUACACUUGUGAUAUCACCUAGUAUAUAUUAAUACAUUAAAUAUGAAAAUUCAGUGAAAA